UGCACUGAUCAACACUAGUUAUAUUUCCCAGCACUGACAGAAAGUAAAGGAAAAAAAAUAACAAAACAAAUGUGCAAUAAAAAUUCUGAAUUGAAGCAUCGCUGCGCAGUUGCUGGGCCAAUGCAAACGAAAUAAAUUAAAAAACGCAACAGCUAGUCAAGUGCCAAGAGCCGGGAAUUGAUUAAACCACGUAGAAUAACCGUCGAAAAAAACAAAAUUUUUAAAGCAGGCCACGGGUAAAAAAAAAUUUUUUUGUAGACGAAGAUGUGCGAGGCAAACAGGAAGAAGAAGCAUGGCAGCAAAGUUUUGUGCGCGAGUGCAACGCAACGAAAAUAACAUAAAACAAGAAUACAAGAACAACAAGAAAAAAGUAGUUAUAUACCAAGGAAAUGUACAAAAUAUAAAGGAGAUACAACAAUAACACCAGUAAUAACAGCAGCAGCAACAAAUUCUAAAAAAAUUCUGCCGACGUCUCGUCUAACGUCGCAGUCGACGUCUUGGUGUGAAAAGAGGUCAAAGGCGCAACACAGAAAAA